rnacentral:lncRNA from 1 species
CAAGAACACAAGCAGGGGAGCAGCAGGCAGAGCAGGCAGAGGGAGAAGCAGGCUCCCGCUGAGCAGAGAGCCUGAUGCAGGACUCGAUCCCAGGACCCCGGGAUCAUGACCCAAGCGGAAGACAGACGCUUAACCGACUGAGCCACCCAGGCGCCCCAGUCCUAACAUUUUCAACUUGUGAAGCACAGUAUAAGGACCCCAUCGAAUUUGCUGGCAUUUAAAAGAGGACAGACUGCCUCCCUUGCUCAUGGCCCAUUGAUCAGACACAAACUGGCCGAGACUUUUCACACCCACAGAGGCGAAAGGCAGAUUCGGAAACCUUCCUUGCUCAAGCCAGGCAGCCCCCGCCCGUGGAUGGCAAGUGAGAUGAAAUCUAUUUAUCAACCCCGGAUUCAGUCUUCCUCUCGCUUUUCAAGGGAGGAGACUAAGGCUCAGGGAAGUCAAGUAACUUUCCUCCUGUGCUAUACGUCAUGGCUGGGUUGGCUUUGAGGCCACCUGCUCUCUGAGGCCAAGGAAACAAUAUCUGUUCUACCUGGAAUUUAAAGAUAAAGUCAAACCAAAGACAAAAAUCAAGCCACUGGAGAAUAAGGAGCUAACAUUCACCCACAUUUUCAUCCCUUGAAAUCACUCUUUGGUAACUAUGACGUCUCCAUUUUACACAGAAGACGGGGGUACAGCCAAGAGUUGGCGAACGGUGGAACUAUAAUUCAAAUCAUUUUUAUGCUCAAAAGCUGUGCUCUUUCUAUUUCACUGGAGAAAGGUGAGUACACCCUGGAUGUGGUAGAAGUUGUUCUAAGGGGUGGGGUGGAGGAAUAGCAAAGAGAUGGACUCAUGGACUAUCUCCCUCAUUUCCCAGCAUCCUCUGCAGGGAAUAUGAUAAUAUGCUCGAGCCCUGGAUGGAACUUUCUUCUCUCUCUCUACUUCGAAAUCUCCUCAAAGCUCAUCUCAAAUGUCACCAGCUUUUCCUGAUCUUCCCAGUUAUAAUUAGCUAUUUUUUCCGCUGAUGCAAUUUUCUUAUACAUUUUGUAUUUG